UGGCCGUGGACUCGGAGGGAACGGAAAGCCUUGUCCCCAUCCCGUCUGCUCAAUUUUCCCUCCUUCUAGGUGGCAGCACCGGUGGCAGAAUAUUAACUACCAAUUCCUGGGCAAGAGGAAGAGACAUCUAGUUCCCUUGCGCCCGUGAGAACUGGGAUUUGGGGAGAAACUUCAGAUGGUCCCAAAGCCUACUUGUGCCAAGCCAGGAUGAACAGGAAGAUGACCUAGGAGCACUGGACAAUUUCAUGUCCCCUCUCUGAGGGUGAAGAUUACCCACCUCUGCCUUCUUUCAUGGACUCUCUGUGUUUCUGCACUUCUCUGCUCAAAUAAAUCCACUUUCAUCUCUC